rnacentral:guide_RNA from 1 species
AUGUAUUUCAACAAAAAAGAACCGAUGGGAAAUUGAUCAAUAAAUAGAUGGUGUAAA